UGAGGAAAAGUGCGCUGACU
rnacentral:misc_RNA from 1 species